UACGUAGGGGGCAAGCGUUGUCCGGAUUUAUUGGGCGUAAAGAGCGUGUAGGCGGCCACACAGGUCUGCUGUGAAAACUUGAGGCUCAACCUCGAGCUGUCGGUGGAAACCGUGUGGCUAGAGUCCGGAAGAGGAGAGUGGAAUUCCCGGUGUAGCGGUGAAAUGCGCAGAUAUCGGGAAGAACACCCGUGGCGAAGGCGGCUCUCUGGGACGGUACUGACGCUGAGACGCGAAAGCGUGGGGAGCAAACAGG
rnacentral:rRNA from 1 species